UAGGCAAGGCUCAUAAGAUUACACAGGCUCAAGGUUAGGUUAGGCUGGGUUCAUAAGAUCACACAGGCUCAAGGUUAGGUUAGGCUGGGUUCAUAAGAUUACACAGGCUCAAGGUUAGGUUAGGCAAGGUUCAUAAGAUUACACAGGCUCAAGGUUAGGUUAGGCUAGGUUCAUAAGAUUACACAGGCUCAAGGUUAGGUUAGGCUGGGUUCAUAAGAUCACACAGGCUCAAGGUUAGGUUAGGCUGGGUUCAUAAGAUCACACAGGCUCAAGGUUAGGUUAGGCUGGGUUCAUAAGAUUACACAGGCUCAAGGUUAGGUUAGGCUGGGUUCAUAAGAUCACACAGGCUCAAGGUUAGGUUAGGCUGGGUUCAUAAGAUUACACAGGCUCAAGGUUAGGUUAGGCUGGGUUCAUAAGAUCACACAGGCUCAAGGUUAAGUUAGACUAGGUUCAUAAGAUUACACAGGCUCAAGGUUAGGUUAGGCUGGGUUCAUAAGAUCACACAGGCUCAAGGUUAGGUUAGGCUAGGUUCAUAAGAUCACACAGGCUCAAGGUUAGGUUAGGCUAGGUUCAUAAGAUUACACAAGCUCAAGGUUAGGUUAGGCUGGGUUCAUAAGAUCA